UUUUAUUAUAUGAAAUUGUGGGGAUUGAAAAUAUUGCUCAAAUUCUCGGAUAUAUUAAAGCAGAGACCAUAAUAUCCCUGGCAUGUGUAACAGAUGAUAAUUGAAGCAGUAUGAAGAAAAUGUAUAUCACACACCUGGGAGUGUCACAGUGACAUCAUUUAGAUCUAUAGUAAUAAAGGAACUCCAGCUGUGGGGAACGGAGUCUUUAUUACACAUCACACGUUCUGUAUUCUCUCUGAUUCACAAAGGAUGGACAAGGACAGGAGUCACAGGACUGAAAAGAUAAUAAAUAUCACCCUGGAGAUCAUCUACCUACUGACUGGGGAGGAUUACACAAUAGUGAAGAAGACAUCCAAUGGGUGUGAGACACCCAGCAGCCAUCCCCGUGUAUCAGGAGGACUGAGUAGAACCCAGAGCCCAAUCACGGUGCCUCCACCUCACUCACUGACACAUGAGAGACACAAUGACAAGAAGAUCCUGGAACUCACCAACAAGAUCAUUCAACUGCUGACUGGAG